UCUCUCUCUCUCUCUCUCUCUCUCUAUUUCUCUUCUCUUAGUAUUAGGGUUCAACUCCUUCUUCACACACAGAGAUGAUGAUGACAAUUAUCGAAAUCCUUCAUCUUCUUUUAUCCUAAAUCAAGGUUGAAUGAUUUGUUGAUUUCAGAGAUCUCAAAUCCCAAAUCAAGCGGACCAAUUUAUUAGUUAGGGUUCUUCAUUUCAUCUUCGAUUGAUGGUUGUUCAGCUGCAGGAACACCCAACUUCUCUUGAUUCCGAUUUAGAAUUGCUUCUACAACUUCAUUAGAGACAACUUUUAAGGGCUUACAACUGAAGGCUCCAUCUAUUUACUCUGUGAGAAAUACUUGAAAGAGACCGGUUUAUGAGACUCAAGGAACCAAGGGACGGGGUUAGUCAGUCCCAGUGUAACCAUUUUCUGAACAUUGAGCUAGAUAAAACCAUAAAGGCUUGGGAGUUUCUCGAUAAGGAUGUCCGCUACAAGCCUCCUGAGUUGAAAUUGAAGCCAAAUUUUAUAGUGAUUACUGCACAGGAAAAUCAUCACACCAAGUUCUUUUCAGAAUAUAUCUCCUAAUAAUGUUCCACAUGUGAUUGUUGAGGGAAUAGUGUUGAUGUUGUAGCUAGGUGAACUACUGAGUUCGAAGAAACUGAGAUUGUGUUGCCUUCUAAUUGCAACAUAAUACUUUCAACAGUCUCCAGUACGAGCUUCUUGAACUCUUCUUCUGCCACAAUUUUCUCAGCAUCUGUACCGACCAUCUUGAGCACCUCAUUCACUAUGUGAUAGCACACAUCAAUUUUGCAUAAGACUGUCAGGAACAAACACAGCUAGUAAUUGGUAUGAAGAUUUGUUGAACCUUAGAUGCGGUUUUCCAAUACUGAGACGAGGUUUGUUAUUUACCUGAUUGACGGCUCCAUAGGGAGGGGCCAGUGAAUCCGGAGCUACACGCAGAUACUCCUUGGACAUUUCCUCACUGCGAUUUCUUGAUACCAAAGCACUACGACGAUUACUGUUGGUAAGGCUACUGAAAUGCCUUGCUCAAAUUUUGAUGAAUAUGGUCGGAUUAUGCAUCUCUCUAUACUGUCAAAAUUAUGUUAUAAGUCUAUAAUGUUUAGUGUGCGAGUCAUUUGUAGGUGAUGAGUUGAAACAGACAAACAUUAUUAUGACCGAAUUGAAUGUUACAUACUAGGAUGGUAAAAUUCUAAUGUGUAUUUAAAAGGGACUAACAUCUGACUGUUGAGCUGGGAUUUUUGGGUAUGUCUUAUGAUAAUUUCCCCCCCUUGAUUUUGUAAUUAUUAUCAAUUUUAAUGGCUCUAUGGUUUAGAUUUUGAGUGA